CAGUCGGCGAUAAUUCUACAAGACAGGUCUUAAACAAACUAGCAUAUGUUUUGUCAUAGAGGGUCUAUUAAUCCACCAUCUAACCAACCCAAGCAAAUAUAUGUUGAUAUGCACUGCAUGGUGAGAAAACUAUUUGAAAAAAGCAUAGUACACAAGACAAUUCUGAAGAAAAACACAGCUCAAAAUAUGUAACUCAGCCCAUUGCCCAGCUACUCCUCGACUGCAUUACUUAUUUCCCCGUGUUCAUCAUCAACGUGAUGUUAUCCCCUUUAAGGAGUAUCUUUCCCAGUGGCUUUCUUGUAUUCUUCUUCACAUUGAUCUCAUCAGCAUCGUCCAGCACCAGAUUCAUGUAUUCAUCAAAACCAAUGAUACGCCCUUCAAUUCUUAAAUCUUUCUGCUCAAAUAGCCAGAUCUGGAUUCGAGCUUUGCUCUGAAGGAACCUGAAGAUGAGAUUGAUGGGUUGGGUCAUGAUCCUCUGGACCUUGGUGGACGCCAUUGCUGCUGGUGCUGUGAGCUCUGCGGCAGCAAGGGAGUGGAGGUGAGCGCUGACCGGCGGAAACCCUAGAAAACUAGGAG
rnacentral:misc_RNA from 1 species